GCCCUUAGCAUGGGUGAUGUGCUGGGAGGUUGGGGGGUACAGGUAAGCAUGGUGAGGUGGUCAUACAGGUUUGCAUAUGUGCACAGUUAAGCUGUAGUGCUGGUGACUCAUGGUGUAGCCUUGGGCAACUCAUGCCUUCUCUUGGGCCUGCCAUCUGUGACUUUGGAUUCCUAGGGUUCCUUCCAAUGCCGCGGUUCUGUGUUGGUUAGGCAAGGGUGCAGGGUUGAUCACUAAAGCAGUCCUUUCUGUUCUUAGUUCAUUCCUUUCUCUACUGCUUCUGGCCAUAACCGAAGCAAUGAGGACCUGAAGCAGGAGAAAUCAGAAUUGGAAGAGAAGCUUCAAGUCCUGGUGACUGAGAAGGCUGGCAUGCAGCUUAUUUUAGAAGAGCCGCAAAAGAAAUUACAAAUGAUGGCACUCCUGCUUCAACAGGCUAGGGGUUUUCAAGGCACUGUGAAGCCCCUGAUGCGAAACAGCAGUUACCGCAGGCCAUGGAGGAGCGGGCACAGCUGAAAGCACAUCUAGGGCAGGUAAUGGAGUCAGUUAGAUAACUACAAACGGAGAGAGAUACGUAUGCUGAAAAUCUGAAAGGAGGGAGGGCCAUGUGGUGUCAGAGGAAGCAACAGAUGUCGGAGCAGGUGUGCACAUUGAGAGAGGAGAAGGAGGAUAGCAUGAGUUGGGUAUAAGAACAGUAGAUGAGCUUGGCUGAACAGGGCCCUCCAAGGUGGAGCAGCAGCUACAAGCAGAGGCUGACCACCUGCAGAAGGAGCUGGAGAGUCUGGCAGCUCCGAGCCCAGGAGCAAGACACUGAGGGCUUCAGUCACCCGAACCAGGAGUAGGAGGAGAGGCUGCUGGAGCUGGAGCAGGUGGCCGAGCUCUUGCGGGAGCAGGCAGAGUCACGCAGGCAAAUCCUGGAGACCAUGCAGAACAAAUGCACCACCAUCAGCCACGUGCUCACCCAGAACCACAAGCUCAAAGAGCAGCUGUCUCCGCUGCAGAACGGAUUCAUAAAGCUGGUGCGUGACCCCAUCUGGAAAGCCUGCUCUCCUCCCUAGCACUCCCGGCCUUUGUUUUCCCACCCAUAAAAUGAGGCAGUGUACCCCUAAUGUGAGAUGGUAAUUCUG
rnacentral:lncRNA from 1 species